rnacentral:tRNA from 1 species
GCCGAAGUGGCGGAAUGGCAGACGCGCAUGGUUCAGGACCAUGUCCUCGCAAGGGGGUGAGGGUUCAACUCCCUCCUUCGGCACCA